rnacentral:rRNA from 1 species
CCUACGGGAGACAGCAGUAGGGAAUAUUGCUCAAUGGGGGAAACCCUGAAGCAGCAACGCCGCGUGGAGGAUGAAGGUUUUCGGAUUGUAAACUCCUUUUGUUAGAGAAGAUAAUGACGGUAUCUAACGAAUAAGCACCGGCUAACUCCGUGCCAGCAGCCGCGGGAAUACGGAGGGUGCAAGCGUUACUCGGAAUCACUGGGCGUAAAGAGCGCGUAGGCGGGAUAGCAAGUCAGAUGUGAAAUCCUAUGGCUUAACCAUAGAACUGCAUUUGAAACUGUUAUUCUAGAGUAUGGGAGAGGUAGGUGGAAUUCUUGGUGUAGGGGUAAAAUCCGUAGAGAUCAAGAGGAAUACUCAUUGCGAAGGCGACCUGCUAGAACAUAACUGACGCUGAUGCGCGAAAGCGUGGGGAGCAAACAGGAUUAGAUACCCUUGUAGUC